rnacentral:rRNA from 1 species
AUUGAACGCUGGCGGCAGGCCUAACACAUGCAAGUCGAGCGAGCGGCGGACGGGUGAGUAAUGUAUGGGGACUGCCCGAUAGAGGGGGAUAACUACUGGAAACGGUGGCUAAUACCGCAUACUAUCGGAUAAACCAUUUGGGAUUAGCUAGUAGGUGGGUUAAAGGCUCACCUAGGCGACGAUCUCUAGCUGGUCUGAGAGGAGGAUCAGCCACACUGGGACUGAGACACGGCCCCGACUCUGCCGGAGGCGGCAUAGGGGAUUAUUGCACAUUGGGCGCAGUCCUGAUGCAGCCAUGCCGCGUGUAUGAAGAGGGCCUUGGAGUGGUAAAGUCCUUUCAGCGGGGAGUCGUUACCCGCAGAAGAAGCACCGGCUAACUCCGUGCCAGCAGCCGCGGUAAUUC